rnacentral:lncRNA from 1 species
GACUUGAACCAGCACGCAGAUCUGAAAGCCACUUCGAAGGAAACCUUGUAGAGAAGAAGAGCAACUUUCUAAUUCCUGUCAAACUAAGAGGCGGAACCAAGCCCAGAAGUAGCCUCAAGGCCUGGAGAGAGCAGAGCAGAGAGCAGACUCCACACUCCAGCCAAGGCUCAAGAAAGGCUUUGCUUCUGGAGGCGGCAUUGUUCCUCCAUCCGCUCAGCCUCCGCGUCUCCCCUCCACGGACUCUCAGAAUCACUGCCUUUCUCGGGUACCUCUCCGCCGACCUCCGGGAUCUGGGUGCCUGGGUCCCAAGGCGCACCCAAGCAGGCUCACUGCAGAGGCUGGGGCGCCACUCCGAAGACUAGGAUCCUCCGCACGAGUCCGCCCCGACCAGGGCAGCGCGCAGCGCACACUCAGUGUCUCGCUCCUCUCGGCUUCCCUGGCUCCCACGGACUCGGCUGGCCUCUCACCACCCACUCGGGUUCGCCUUUCCUGCCUUGGCUUCCCACACCAGCUCCGCACCGCCGCCACAGCCGCGUCCCGACGCUCCGAACCCUAGCAGGCCGGGAUGAAGGGAUGCCAGGGUCAGGGAUGCACCCGAAGGAGAAGAGAGACUAAGGCGAGCCGGGGCAGGUGGGGAGUCGCGGGGUGCGGGAGAGGGCGUGCGCGAGCGAGCCCCCCGAGAAAGAUGCAUGUGCUCGGCCACCGCGCUGGAAGAAGGACCGAGGGGGCAGGAUGCAACGUGGAGAACGCCCACCGCGAGGGUGCGCAAAACCGGCGAUUUGCAAAGUGCCAGGGCCAGACAGGCAGAGGGGGAGGAAGGAGGCUGGCUGAAGACCAGGAACAGAGAGAAGAGCCCACUUCUCCAUCAAAAGGUCGGUUCAGUUAACGCAUCCCCAGAGCAGGAGUUAAUCGAGGACUGGAUGCAGUGUAAAAGGUGGGUUUUAAAAAACUGGCCGCGUAGGUCUUCUUAUGCGAGACUUAGCUCCCUCUCUCUCAACUCUGGGGAUUUGCCCUCCCUGUGACACAACUGGAAUUUACAGGAGCUGAAGCCCACUGUCCUUGCUGUUUAUCUGCAUUUUGGAGAUUCUAUGAAACCUAGGAUUGAAGAAACCACCCAGCUCAUUAAAGUUCAUUAAUUUUUAUUGUUUUUAUUUUCAUCAGAAGAUUGUAGUGGAGACUUAACACCAAGAUGGGUUUAAAACAUUGAUCUGAUCGACAUAGC